rnacentral:tRNA from 2 species
GCGGGGGUUGUAGAGCCUGGCCAAAUACGCGGGACUUAAGAUCCCGUCUCUCAGGGGUUCGUGGGUUCAAAUCCCACCUCCCGCA